UGAAUUGAUGAUGACAAUGAUGGCAUAUAUGAGUUAUAUACAUAAUGACUGUGCCUCUGAGGUUCAU
rnacentral:snoRNA from 1 species